rnacentral:rRNA from 1 species
GGAGGGUGCAAGCAUUAAUCGGAUUUACUGGGCGUAAAGAGCGCGUAGGCGGAAGUGAAGUCAGAUGUGAAAGCCCGAAGCUCAACUUCGGAACUGCAUCCGAAACUUCAUUUCUCGAGGGUAGACGGAGAAGACGGAAUUCCACGAGUAGCGGUGAAAUGCGUAGAUACGUGGAAGAACACCGGUGGCGAAGGCGGUCUUCUAGUUUAUUCCUGACGCUGAGGCGCGAAAGCAAGGGGAGCAAACAGGAUUAGAUACCCUGGUAGUCCUUGCCGUAAACGAUGCACACUUGGUGUAGCCCGGUCUCAACCCCCGGCUUUGCCCGAAGCUAACGCGUUAAGUGUGCCGCCUGGGGGAGUACGCUCGCAAGGUG